rnacentral:rRNA from 1 species
UACGUAGGGGGCAAGCGUUGUCCGGAAUCAUUGGGCGUAAAGAGCGUGUAGGCGGCUUGGCAAGUCUCGCGUGAAAUCCUGCGGCUCAACCGCAGGCGGUCGCGGGAAACUGCCUCGCUAGAGUCCGGAAGAGGAGAGUGGAAUUCCUGGUGUAGCGGUGGAAUGCGCAGAUAUCAGGAAGAACACCCGUGGCGAAGGCGGCUCUCUGGGACAGUACUGACGCUGAGACGCGAAAGCGUGGGGAGCGAACAGG